CCAGCAACAGCGGACCCUUAGGCCUAUCUUGGCCAGUUACACCGGAGCUCAGCAACUGCGUGCCCCACCCUCAUUGUUUUAAACUUGCACAGCAAGGUGAUGCCCUGCAGGUGUAUCACCCCCCAGCCUUAUCGGCACCCCAUCUAUUGUUUUUGGAAGCACCUGGUCCUAUAUGAAGCGUUCCUCAGAGCGUGAGACCCUCGCCAUUUCGCGUCAGGACCAGCGCCGGUGCAGACCAUUUUCUACCCACACAGAGCGUUUCUGACCAGCUCUCCCCUACUCUGAGACGCAGCGGAGCGGAGGUUCUUCAGACUACUGGAAAGAGUCAUCAUUACCAACGUCCUCCACCAUAACUCCUUGAAAUAUCGGGAGGUUCCAAAGUGGGUUAGGGUUCUUGUGCUCAAACGUAUAGCAAACCUCAUCUGCUACCACUGGCCAAAAGAUAUCCAGCCGCCUUCUACACCACAGAAGGAUAAACCUGGAAACUCCAAUGUCAGUUCUGGUCCAUGGAUCAUUCAACCAGCCAGCUGGGCACCUGACCAGCACCCAGUUAGUAACGGUACAUCUGCUCUGCCUGAACUGCAACAGAUCUGUCAGUACCUUGCUGAACUUGGUGCCCACCUCCUCUCUCUGCAGAAGGAAAGCCAGCUGUUGCACCAGUGGUGUCAUGUAGGAUAUGUCCUUGACUUCCUGCUCUUUCGUAUCUAUCUGCUGCUCAUCAGCUGCUAUGCCAUGGUUAUUGUCACAAUGUGGUGCAUUUGGAUCACUCAGUCCUAAGUGGAUAUGGAUAUGAUCCAGGAUUGGAUGUCUUGUAUAAAAUUUGAAAGGAACAAUUGUUCCUUUCCCCUUUGCUGUGUGCUGUGCUGAUGCUGUUUUCAAAACCUACCACACUCAUGUACAGUAUCAGUCACACUGAGAUAUUUCAGAGAUAACCUGAAUAAAUACAAAUAAAAUACAAAUAAAGGG